UGUCCUUGGGAGGGACAGCACCAUGAGUGAUCCAGCACAGGAGCUUGUGGCCAGUGAGGAAGAGGACGACCCUGAGGUGGAGUUCCUGAAGUCUCUGACCACC